UUUUUUUCUUUGCCUUUUUUUUUUUUUUUUCCCCGUCUCCUGAGCAGAUUCUGCUGCAGCUCAGCUUUGGGUGGAGGCUGGGGGUUAUCUCGGAGCUUCACAAGCCUCGCUGUGCUCUGCGGGGAGUUGCAGCUCGUGCUCACUGCAGACCCAGAGUAGGUGAGCCAGGAAAGCCUGGCUUGAGCAACCACUUCAGAGGGCAGGACAGGGAGGAAAAGCAAACACUGUAGAGAGGUGGCCUCCCUGGUAAGGCUAGAGCAGGACCGUCCUGCGGACCCUGAGGGAGGGAGAAGGUAAGUGGCUGCUUGGCAGAGGCUGCCUGCGGGAGCGGCAUGUGCCGGGCAGGGCGCGCCCUGCCCGCAGUUCCUGCGGCUCAGAACCAGCCGCUCCGUGGGUUUGUACAGCCUGUGCUGUGGUAUGUGCCGAGGCUCAGGGCUGUUCCCCUGCGAGGGAGAGCACUGGGUGCUGCCGCGAAGGAGGCACCGCAGCCCCGCGCCUUUCGCAACGACUGCGCUCAUCGCUCCAUUCCUCGCUCCCCCCCUCGCUCCUCACCGGGUCAGGCUCUGUCGAGAACAAGCGACAAACCGUCCGCACAAAACAGAACACGUUUCCAUGGAGGGGGAAAAAAAUACCAACAAAACCAACCAACAAAAGCGUUUCCGCAGUGCCAGGCUGGCUCUGAAGCGCUGCCUUCAGCGCUGUGAGCCCCGUCGGGGGCUCCCGGGCCGGGGCCGCCCGAGCCGCUGGAGCCAGCGCUGAGCCUGGGUCACAGCGGCUCUCAGUGACCAUCUGCCAGCAAAAUCGGAAGGAACGGUGACGUUAUUCUUAGCAGAACACCAUUAAAAUGCUCCUCUGGUAUUUCUCAAUAGAGGUGAAAAGCAUUUCAGCUUCCUGGAAAUGGCCGAAGCUGGCGACGUGUAGAUCAAAGUACGGCGCAGAGCUGGGCUCGGCUUUGCAGGGGGGUUUGAACUGUAGUGAAAACGUUUCUGCAGCUUGCAUCGUAGUGAGUUAAGUCAGCACGUGAAGCGAUUAAAAAAAAAAAAGCAAGUUUUAAACGGCAUCGGGCUAUUAACUUUCCUGGGAUUUAAAAUUUAUGUUUAAAUAUAUAUUUGGCUGUUAGCAAUACCUGCAUUUACGAGUAACAAUUGGUCUGUUUAACCCUGAAGCAAACCAGCUCUGCCUAACGCAAGGCUUUGAAGCGACACAGCCAGACCAUAAUACUGUGGGAGCUUAGACAGCUUUGUCUGUACUUGCAUCUCUCUGCAUAUUUUUCCAGGACUCUGAUCUUUGUCUGCGAUUAAUCAUUGUCCAGGACGGCUGUUCCCGAUGGUAGGAUCCAUGAAGUGCUCCAGCUGGGAGAGGUCCUAACGCCUGUGCCUGGCUCUGCGUACGUGCAAACCAGGGCCAGAAAUUGCUGGGGCAGCGGGGGUUGGACAGCGAGCCCGCCGUGCCCCCCCAGUGAAUUGUAUGGGUCCUCAGCACUUCUGGAAAUGGUUUUUACUGCCUUGUACACAGAAUCCUUUAUAUUGAAGCUUUUCAAGUCACAAUCCAUUGCUUGUGCAAGGAAACUAGAUUAACAGAUUAUAAAAGACAAAAGAGACCAAGGUUCAUCUGGUUCGACUUCCUGCAUUAUGUACGUCUCGGGAUUUUUGUGAAUUUGUUGCUUUUUCUCAUUUGAAAGAAUUUAACUGCAGCAUGCCUGCAUCUUAGAUAAAGGUCAGAUUUUCAUUUUAAAAUGGGCUGUGAGAGGGAGUAAAAUAAGAGGAAAUUUUUUCCAUCAAAAUCUACCUGCCAGACUAGAAAUCAAAGUACCUUUUUAAACUUGUCUAGUUUCUGUUUUCAGUUGCUGGAUGUCUCUGCCCUUCAGUCUGCUUGGUGGAGGAAUGCUCCAUGGGCAGAUUUUCAUCCCUGUGUAGCUGUGCUCAGGCUGAGCAUUUGAUACUCCAUUGCAGACUGCAGAGCUCCCCCUCGGGUCCGUCUUUACUAAUCCUGGAAUUGUUCCUGCCUGUGAACGCUACAGUUUGUCACCAUUUUGAUCUGGGCAGAAGGGGAUGGAGCCCUCAGCAGAGAUCAGACCCAAGCCAACAGCCCUCCUGGCUGAGCUGUCUCUGUCAGGAAUCCAGGGAUUACACCAGCCCAUGUUCAGCUGGUUUCCCAGCACGGCUCCUAAAAUACUCUCAGAUCUGCUCCUUCUUAGGAUGACAACCCUGUGCUGUAGGUUUGUGCUCUUUGUUCUGCAUGUAUGGCUUUACACUUGUUCCUCUUGCAAAGGACAAGCCCUUAACGUUCUUGCUUGCAAUGGCUUUUUUUAUUAUUUUUCUUAAUUACCCCCUCCUGCUACUGCAAAAUGUCACCUACCAAGUUGGUUGGUCGUGAUUUUGUAUUUUAUCCAGAUAAACAACUGGUUGUGUCUCCACUGUGGGUGUUUCCUGGUUCCGGGUGUGUGUACACACACCUGAGCUGUGUCAAUAUUGUGUCAGGAGGAGGUCUGGUUGUACAACAUCCCUUGCCACACCCCAGUUUCAUGGGAAGAAAGCCCAGCUUAGGAGCUGGAAGGGAGCCAGGAAGCACACUGCAACGUUUGCUUGCCGUGGUGUCUAUUAUGUAGCCAUUAAAUAACCUAAGGCCCAAAACAGGUGGUUGCAGACCCAUAAAGGAGAGGUGACGCCUCUAGGACACGGUGGUUACAAAGUGCAUUUUGAGACCUUCCUGUUAGAGGGCUUUUUUUAGAGGUGGUGCCUCUACUAUGUAUUCUCUACUCAGCUGUUCGUUCAAGACCUAAAUACAUUUGAGACUCCUUCCCCACUGCCAAAUUUGAUUGAGAUUGGAGGGGGGAAAUGACAUAGAACUACACAGUCACAUUAGACAGUUUUAUUUUUAGGGAACCAGGCUAAGAAUAUCGAAGGAAUAUUGAGUAGGAAUAUGGACGUGGUAUUUGCCUGUUCAGUUUUUCUUGCCAUGAAAUUUUCCAUUUCUUCCUGAGAACAGCAGAUGAUCUGUCUAGGGAAUUGUCAGCCAAAAUAAGCAGCCUCCUGACAGAUUUCACCUGUGUCCCAGCAUGCUCUGAGGGUACAUGGGAUGUGAGCCUUGAACAAUGACAGGGAAUCACUACUUGGCUGUGUUGUUUGGCUGCUGGGGUACAGAGAUACGUGGUGAUACCCAACAGUGGAACAAACAUCUACUUUUUUUUUUUUGAUGGACAUGUUGGAUAUUUGCCAGAGAUGUUUUUUUUUUGUUACUUUUUAAGCUAGAUCUGUUCAUUUUAUACCUGUUAGUAUUAUGACAAAGCCACCUCUGUAAGGUAGGGAGUGAGUGCUUUCAGAGAUCUAAUCGUUCUUGAGCUAUAAAGGAAUAAAGAAGCUGUUUCAACACCUGACUUGCAGAAUGUUUUGUGUUGCUUCUUGCCCAUUGAAAUGCAGCUGCUAUUGAAACACUGUGAUCCCAUCAGGAUGUAGAACCGGUUAUUUUUUAGAAUGCUUUCAAGCUUAUAAAAAUCAUGAAAUAAAUCAAGAAGGUUGGCAAUUCUAAUCAGCAUUCUAAAGCCAUCAGAUCACAAAACAGUUCAGUGCUUCAUGGCCUCUGAACAGUACAGUUUUACAAAAAAAAAAAAAAAAAAGAAAAAGAGAAGGAAUGAAAAGAAUGUACCAUUUAGAGAAGCUGGGUGCUUACAAAGCUUGCAUCAAAAGGAAAUGAAGAUACAAAUAAGUAAUCUAAAAGGAUAUUUAUGCAUUAAAUUACUUGUGUCUCUGGACACAUCAUUAAACAGUCUGGAUGUGAUGGUAGCUGGGGACCUGGAAGCCUUUUUAACACAUGCAGCACAUACAGGGAAUGUUCUGAUUACAAGUGAUGGAGUAUAAAAUGUUUUAGCCAGAAACUGAUGACAAAGAUCAAAUGGAAUGAGUUGAGCUUACAAAUCAGAGCAGCUUCUUCUCGCUGGUGUGAUGUGACACAAGACCAAGACUGUUUUGCCCUUGACAUUGUCACCAUUGCUCUCUAACCUGCAGUUAAGGAUUUGCAUCUUUAUUUAUUGUCUGACAGGGCAGUUGGGAGUGCCCCAGCUGCUCCCCAAGCCCUGGUUUGCAGCAGAGUGGGCCAGAACGGGCAGGAUCAGGGAAGGUGUGCCAUCCAUCGCCUUUCUGUGCCGCUGCAUCACGGCAGCUCCCAGUUGCUAAGCAGCUGCAGAGCUGUCUCUGUACAAGGGGAGCAACAUGGGUUCCCCUUGAUCAGUGGAGAGGAGCCGGCAGCAUGGAAACGGGAGCAGUGACCGUAGGAACAUCAUUCCUUUCCUGGCUGGCUCCGAUGCCGAGUGGAGCGAAGGGACACUCGGUGGCCCAGGAGCAGGGGGGGGGGCAGUAGGGGAGGGCAGAGCCAGCAUAUGUGCACAGCAGAGGUUACAAAGACAGCAGAUCCUGGCAGAGCAGGGGGCACACACCAAGGAGAAAGGAAUGGGAGAGAGGCCAAAUGCACAGUUCGGAAUAAAAAAACCCCAGGAGGAGAGUGUGGCAUAUGGAGAGGGGAAAUAAAGCAGAACUUGCACAGCCUGCGAAUAAUUGAAUAGAAAAUACAGGAAGAGGGAAGGAGCUUGAUUCAUUACUGCCCUUCAUCUUGUGGAGACAGCUACACCCGGGAAGAGGAGGUGUGGAAUACAACGGCAUCCUUCAUGUUUCACAGUGAACUGUAGGUUUUACAUUUCAACCCCUGCCAUUUGUGGUUUUCUCCUUUCACAGCCCCUGCCUUUUGUUCAGACUUGAUUCCUGCAGGCUCCAUUCUUAUCUUUGUCUACUUUCUGAUUUAUUUUUGUACUUGCUUUAGUUUUUUUGGGGGGGUUUUUUUUUUUUUUUAAGGUAAGUUUUAAAUUAAGAUACCCUUUCCAGAUAUUUUUGCUGUUUUCACCUUCGUGAGGGCAGGCCAUCGCUAGCUCCUAACUGAAGUUGGUUUCUACUAAAUCCACAAAGCCAUCGCUGCUUUUCUCCCCUUCUCUCUCCUGGGAGCUGCUGAUGGAGAACAGGGUUCUCUUUGCUUCCCGACACCUUCCCCUGCUCGUUGUCUUUCCCUUUCCCUGCUCAGUGCCUGCCAGCAGUCCGGAAAGGCUCGUGGCUCGCAGCGUGCAGGAAGCGGUUCCUGUGGCAGUAAAUUAUCACGAACGCCUGACGUGUUGCAUAAAGGGGAGUACAAAAGUGUCACGAACAUCUGGGGAGGGGGGUUGUGACCAAAGGAGAGCCUUGGUUCCACCACAGCUCCGCUGCCCACAUGAAAAAGCACUUUGUGGUGUCGGCUCCUCACAUGCAGUUGGUGUGUAAUAGGAAAUGCCAGUGGAGCUGGCAGGGAGGGAGGGGAGCUGGACAUUCCUCCCUCUGGCUCCUCCAGGCAGAGGACUGAGGGGCGUGUUUGGGAGGGUGGGGAGAGGAAUUUAAAUUCCCGCAGCUGUUGCUCUCCUCUAUGACCAGCCCUGGCUUGCUUGGAGGCCUUUUGACUGAGAACACUUUUCCCCAGGUCCAAAAUUGAGUCCUAAAAGGAAAAUGGAGGUGCCCACCCAGAUCUGCAGUGGAAAGGAGUUGCUGUGAGCUCUGUGUGUGUGUGUGUGUGUGAAAUUCAAGCCAAUAAAAUACUUGACAAAUA